GCACUAUCAGUUAUACUAUUACAAUAUUGCAUAUAUAGCCCCCUACGCUGUUUUACACUAUUGUAAUAUUUAUUACUUGGGUUCGUAUCAUUCGUAUCGUGUUCGCUGUUGUCUGCUUGGACGUCCCUACAGAUUGUUUAUAAUUGUAUAAUUGUAUUGCAUCAACCCUAUACUCUUGUUUUCAUUGUUUAAAUUUAUUUAAAUUGUAAUACAAUGAGUGAUUGCGAUUCUUCAAUUGAAGUCGAUCAGGUUGCAGAUUCGAAAGAACCAAUUUUACUCUGGCCAAAUCAUCAAAAAUAUUUUAAAGUAUUAACUAUUAAGAGAUUAUCCAUUUUUUUUACAAGAAACUGGUAGUGAAGUGCUUAAGUUGUGUCGGUACAAAGUGUUACAAGGUGGAUUCACGUUCAAACUCUAAUAUAAGAAAACAUUUAAGUACACAACAUUCAACUAUAUUAAAGAAAAUUGAUCACAUUGAAAAUGCAACGAACAAAAACACUUGAAGGAGAUGAAAUGAUGGAUUAUUGAAGCAUAAUGCUGGUAGUUCUAGACAAUCUAAUAAAAACAACCAGUUUUAGAAGAUUUUUUAAACAACAAAAAUAUAACUAGUCAAAUUGCAACAUUAACAAAAGUAGUUGAUAUUUACUUGACUACAUGACAAUACACUGAUACAUUGCUGGUGAACGAUACGAUUGUCAAUGAUUUAGAAGAAAUCGACGCAUUCAACUUGCACAUUCUCGAGAACAUUCUAAAUGAUGAAGACCAUGAUUUGCUAUAUGCAUUACCAAAACACCAUUGAUGUUGUGCACACAAAAUAAAUUUAAUAGCAACAAUGGAAUCUAAAAAAGCUUUGUCUAAUAUUGCAUACAAAAAACAGUCAAAAAGAACUUUUGCCAAGUCUACCGCUUUGUGAAUCAAACAAGGUCGCUCAACCAAGUCAGCUCAUUUAUUUAAACAAAAUCUUGGAGUUUAUUUAAUUACACCCAACAAAACACGUUGGAAUUCACUGUAUGAUGCAGUGGUGCUGUUUAAUAAAUAAAUCUAAAAUAAUGAACUUAAGUUUAGAAUAAUAAUGGACAAAUUGGCUUUCGGCAGGUAAAUUAAUGAACAUCGAAUCCGAUCUGUGUGAUCCAAGUCUGUGUGACACAUGGUUUAUAAGCAGUCGUAAGUACGACUCGCGGAAGAGAGAAAGUUCAACGACCUCCACGUAGUUCUCUUUGGAUGCAAAUUUUGUAAUGAACACGUUACUGAUGUCGAACAUGCAUUUAACCUAGCUGCAACUCACACACUAGAUGAAUCGGGCAUACAGCGGGGCAUGGUAAUGCACCAGACGAGGAGAGACCGCUAGACACUCAGUCACAGUUUUUGGAUUGCUUGCCUCAUUGUGUUACCCGACCGUCGCAUGUCGUCCGCUAUACGACAAAGUCGGAUGGUCUACCUGCCAGACUAUGCUCAAAAUCGAAGCGGGUGACUGCUUCCUAGACACUCAAAAAUUGCGGCAGCUAUACAACAUAAUUUCUUUUUGAAUUCCCGCUUUUUCACUUACAUCUAGCAUGCGACGGGGCAUGCAUCCAAUCCACCAUACACACAUGCCCUAUAACUCAUAGAUUUGCAUAGAGCGAUGAUUAUUAAUUACAAAUUUGUACAAAUUAAAUACAAAAUAAAAUUAUUUAUUUGUAUAACUUGUUUUUUCUAGGACUCUAAAAAAGCUUUGUCUAAUCUUGCAUACAAAAAACAGUCAAGAAGCACUUUUGCCAAGUACCGUUUUGUGGAAUAAACAAGGUCGCUCAACUAAGUCAGCUGAUUUAUUUAAACAAAAUCUUGGUGUUUAUUUAAUUACACCUAACGAGACAUGUUGGAAUUCACUGUAUGAUGCAGUGGAGCUGCUUAAUAAAUUAAUUUUAAAUAAUGAACUUAAGUUUAGAAUAAUAAUGGACAAAUUGGCUAUUGUUAGAUUCAAUAGAAGUGAUAUUUAUUUCAUGUGUCAUAUCAAACAAUUAUGGGGCCAAUUUCAAUAAGCUUUUAUUUACUCCAGGGUGAUGAAUAAUUAUAAUCAAAUUUGUAUGAGUUGUAAUACAUAUUU